rnacentral:rRNA from 1 species
AUUGAACGCUGGCGGCAGGCUUAACACAUGCAAGUCGAGCGGAGAUGAGGUGCUUGCACCUUAUCUUAGCGGCGGACGGGUGAGUAAUGCUUAGGAAUCUGCCUAUUAGUGGGGGACAACAUUCCGAAAGGAAUGCUAAUACCGCAUACGUCCUACGGGAGAAAGCAGGGGAUCUUCGGACCUUGCGCUAAUAGAUGAGCCUAAGUCGGAUUAGCUAGUUGGUGGGGUAAAGGCCUACCAAGGCGACGAUCUGUAGCGGGUCUGAGAGGAUGAUCCGCCACACUGGGACUGAGACACGGCCCAGACUCCUACGGGAGGCAGCAGUGGGAAAUAUUGGACAAUGGGGGAAACCCUGAUCCAGCCACGCCGCGUGUGUGAAGAAGGCCUUAUGGUUGUAAAGCACUUUAAGCGAGGAGGAGGCUACUGAGACUAAUACUCUUGGAUAGUGGACGUUACUCGCAGAAUAAGCACCGGCUAACUCUGUGCCAGCCGCCGCCGUAACAC